ACAAGAUAGUCUGCGAUUCCAGCAACUUCAUGUCUAAACUCAAUGUCAAGCAUUUUCCUCCAUGACGUGGGUGAUAAUUACAGUCUUGGGAACUGAUGACAUCAAUCCUAUACUCAUGACAGUGAGAAGGAAAUCUUGCCUAGGAGAACAUGAGGAACAUCAGCAUUUACAGGUCAGAAGCCCUCUGAAAGCUGUCUUUUCGCUGCUGUACCCCAAGUGAUUAGCACAUCAGGCACUGAAAACUGGAGACUCAAUUGACUAGGUUCAUGUGUCCACUGAGUCCUGAUUUAACUUCCAUCAAUGAGAAGGACCCUCAUUAUGAAGAAAAGGGUGAAGAAAGUAGCCUGCUUCAUUAAGCAUGCUGACAGGUGGCAGAAAGGGUCAGUACAGUGGCUCCAGGUGAACUUCUGCCUUGUGAAGACUAUUAGCAGUGGCUUUCCCUGAAAUUUCUGUACCCCUGGAUUUUCUAAAAGCCAGCAAAGAUUUCUCCUGAAUUGUUCCUUCAAUUUUUCUGACAGAUUAAUGAACAAUUUCUUGUAUAAAUUAUCUUCCUACUUGAAAUAUUUAAAGCAAUUUGUUUUCCAGAUCAAGAACUUACACAACCAUCUAGCACUUCUUUUGUCUGAUUGCCUAUUUUUUUCCCACAUAUUUCAUUUUAUAUAUACUUACACUUUUCUGAUUUUUUUUUCCAACAGUUUUAUAUCUGCG